rnacentral:tRNA from 4 species
GCGGGCGUGGCGGAAUUGGCAGACGCGUAUGGUUCAGGUCCAUAUGAGCUCCGGCUCGUGAAGGUUCAAGUCCUUUCGCCCGCACCA